rnacentral:rRNA from 1 species
GUCCACGCCGUAAACGAUGGGUGCUAGGUGUGGGGGGUGUCGACUCCCUCCGUGCCGCAGCUAACGCAUUAAGCACCCCGCCUGGGGAGUACGGCCGCAAGGCUAAAACUCAAAGGAAUUGACGGGGGCCCGCACAAGCAGCGGAGCAUGUGGUUUAAUUCGACGCAACGCGAAGAACCUUACCUGGGCUUGACAUGCACGGGAAUGUCGUAGAAAUACGGCAGCCCUUCGGGGCUCGUGCACAGGUGGUGCAUGGCUGUCGU